rnacentral:misc_RNA from 1 species
AACGCACAUUGCGCCCGCCGGCACUCCGGCGGGCAUGCCUGUCCGAGCGUCAUUUCAACCCUCAGGCCCGGCCUGGUGUUGGGGCCCUGCGGCCGCCGCAGGCCCCGAAAUGGAGUGGCGGGCCCGCCGCAGCCUCCGAGCGCAGUACGAUGCUCUCGCUAGGGAGGCGCGGCUCGGCCCCGCCGUCGGAGACGACGACCCCUUCUCGCAAGGUUGACCUCGGAUCAGGUAGGAAUACCCGCUGAACUUAA